GAAAUGUAGGCUGUUAUUGCAGAGGACAUGCAAAGGCUUGAAAGAAAUGAAGCCAGUAUGCUUUGCAGGAUGUGCAAUAUCAGUAUGCAUGUACAACAAAGUGUAAAUAUUUGGAGGGGGAAAUU